CACACUUCCAAAGACACUGACUUACAGAUUAAUAUUUACUUCAUAGCUCAUGACGUUUGUUUUGAUCUUUUCUGAGGAAGUUGAGUCUGAUAACACAGAUUUUAGUGAGUUAAUCUUUAGGUGGUCUCAAGUCAGUUUUACCUUUUUCAUCUGUAGUUACUCUAUGAAUGUUUUUAUCCUCUUUUCUCACAGAUCUCACUUCAAUCAUUGUGGUGUCUGUGAUAGGGCCUGUGUGUGUGUGUGUGUGUGUGUGUGUGUGUGUGUUUGUGUUGCUGCAGUCAUCGUCUUCCUGCGUAGAAGAAGACAUCAGAACGGUGUGUCACACGGGGACGUUGAGAAGACCAAGACGCCUCAGACAACAACCAAAGACCCUCAUGAGACCCAAACACCUUUAAUGAAGAACGAGCUACGGAAACGGUUGUCUUCUGUGAAGAAAGAAUAGACAAGCUUCACCACAUCAUCUCCGGAAGCAAGAAAAUCUUUAGUUUUGAACUGAUAACUCUACUGCUCUGUUUAAGAAGGGACAGAGCAGCUUUAUCUUCUGAGGAGACUGAGGUCUUUUAGAGUGCAGGCUCCUUAAGACCUUCUUUGACUCUGUGGGGGCAUCAGCUAUUUUGUAUAGAGUGGUCUGCUGGGGCAGCAGCAUCUCAGCUGCUGACAGGAAGAGACUGAACAGACUGGUGAAGAAGGCCAGCUCUGUCCUCUGGACACUGUGGAGGUGGUGGGAGACAGGAGAAUGACGGCCAA